UGGCAGUUAUUUCAGGGAGGGCCAAGAACAACACAACAAAUAAAACAUCCCUGAUAUAAAGUAAACAGAAUUUAACUCCAAAGAAAAUAAAAUGUACAAUUUACGAUAACCUACCUAACCAACACAAUAAACAGGAGAAUACAAAACAAAAGGCAGCUCUCUCCUCGCAUCAGUCUGAACACAGUCAAGGGUCACAUUCAAUUCCAAAGGCAUGUAAGCCUACAUAACUAUGGCAGUCAAAAUGGCCGGAGGAACCAGAAACAACGCCUAGACAGAAUACAAUGGAAAACCAGAAUACUCUUGGGGAAUGUAACAAAAACCAAACAUAUUGCCAAAACAUGAUUAAAUCAUAUGUACGAGUGGCUGCUUUUCAAUUUCUCUCUUUUCAGAUUUUCCAGGAAGGUUCUAUGGCUAAAGGUGGGCACAUCCAACCGCAAACAAAACUUUGUGGCCAGAUACUUCUUUGAGGCUGUUCAAGAACAGGGUGGUAUGCAAUAUACUUAAAAAAGGGGGGUUAAAAAAGAUUACAUUUUGGUUAUAAAUUUAUUUUUUCAUCAUUCACUAAUUAUCUUCAGUUUGUGUCUUUAGGCUGUCCUCAAAUGAUUCGGGGGACAGAGGAAAGGAGAACCUUGUUGUGGGUCAAAUGCAGAUGGCAUUUCACAUGCGAGAUCUUGGGAAUCAGGCAUGGAGGUGCUUCAGAAUGGGGACAUCAGUGCACAACCAGAGAGCUGAAUGUUUUAACAGUAUUUUAAAGCGGACAUGGAUUAAGAAUGGCUGACAACAUUUGAGGUAAAGCAAAUCUUUCACCUGUAAAACCUAAUAACAAAGACUAGCCAUCAAAAUUGCGCUAAACAUACGAUGGAUUAGUUUAUCUGAAAACACUAUGCUGGAAUUUUUUUUUUUUUUACAUCUGUACCUUUUCACUGAUGAAAUGCUCACCUUCACAACUUAUGUCUUUUUCAAACCACAUGCUUAGGCCAUGAUGGAGUCUGGGAUCCUUGAACUGGACAAUCCUGUGCACAUCAACUGCUUGCAGUACUCACACUUGCCACUGCUUCAAAGAGACUUAAAAACGGAGCAAACAGUUUGGAACACCCAUGACAUCCGCAAGCAACGCAAUGCACCAGGUCCAUUUGGGAAACCCGACCUUCUGUUUACCUCACCACCUCCUGGAUAUGGCAAUGUGCUGCACAUAGUUGACCCAGACCUUUUAGACUACGCCAAGCAAUUAAUCUGUGAGGUGGAAGAGCCUUCACUGGUAGCAAACCAGGAAUUCAGAGACAUGUGCCAGAACAUUUUAGAAAACAGCCAAUUUCCCUGCACACCUGAUGGUUGCCUUGCUGCAUACCUCAUGCUAGUCCAAGAGCUGACAACUGCCAUGAACAGAAAUGCAGUUCCUACACCUUCUACGUUUGCAGAGGCAAAUGACAUAUACAUCUUUCUGAAGAGACAGAGGAUGGAAGGUGCACCAGUAAACAUUUCCAAUGACCAAUAA
rnacentral:lncRNA from 1 species